UGGGGAAUCUUGCACAAUGGGGGAAACCCUGAUGCAGCGACGCCGCGUGAGCGAUGAAGCCCUUCGGGGUGUAAAGCUCUUUCGGCAGGGACGAUAAUGACGGUACCUGAAGAAGAAGCUGCGGCUAACUACGUGCCAGCAGCCGCGGUAAUACGUAGGCAGCGAGCGUUGUUCGGAGUUACUGGGCGUAAAGCGUGCGUAGGCGGUGGUCCAAGUCUGGUGUGAAAUCUCCCGGCUUAACUGGGAGGGUGCGCCGGAAACUGGGCCGCUGGAGUGUGGGAGAGGUAAGCGGAAUUCCUGGUGUAGCGGUGAAAUGCGUAGAUAUCAGGAGGAACACCUGUGGUGUAGACAGCUUACUGGACCAUGACUGACGCUGAGGCACGAAAGCGUGGGGAGCAAACAGG
rnacentral:rRNA from 1 species